ensembl:lncRNA
CUGAAAAAGCCCCCCUCGGCUUAUACUCGAGUGAGGGUCCUGGUUGGCUUAUAUUUGGGUCAGCUUAUACUUGAGAAUAUAUGGUACAUUUAUUAUUUUUCUCUAUUAUUAUUGGUAUUGUUACAUUUAUUAUUUUUCUCUAUUAUUGUUGCUACUAUUACAUUUAUUUUACUCUAUUUUUAUUAUUUUUAUUAAUACAUUUGUUAUUUCACUCUGAUCUUAUUAUAUUAUUAUUAUUGCAUUUAUUAUUUUACUCUAUUUAUUAUUACUUGUAUUAUUUUCCUGUAUUAAUUAUUAUUAUUAUUACAUGUAUUAUUUUACUCUAUUAUUAUUAAAAGGAUACAUAAGCACAUUUACAUUGAAGAAGAUGAAAAUAAUGAUUUGAUCAGGGUUGGACAGUCUUAUCUUAAAUUUGCGCUUUAUGUAAAUAUUCAAAAACAUUUAACCUACUGAUGCCUCAAUUAAUGUAAUUUUAUUGGUAUCUAUUUUUAUUUCUGAAAUUUACCACCCUCGGCUUAUACUGGAGUCAAUGUUUUCCCAGUUUUUUUGUGGUAAAAUUAGGUUCCUCGGCUUAUAUUCGGGUCGGCUUAUACUCGAGUGUAUAUUCGGGUCGGCUUAUACUCGAGGCCCAAGGGAGAGAGUUCCACUGCCGGACAGCCCUCACUGUGAGGAAGUUCUUUGUUAUGAUUGAGCCUCAUGGCUCUGUUACUGACAGACGUGGGCGUAAGACUCCUCGAGAGUCAGAUACUCUCGAGGAGCGAGAAAGAAAAAGACUGCGAGACAUUUUUGCAGCACCAUCUGACGAAGAGUCUUUUGAGGGGUUUACGGAGAGAAUGGAGGAGGGGCUGGUUAGCUCGGAGGAGGAUGAGAUGGAUUGGACUCGGGUAAGGGAGGAAUUGGGUGCCACUGGUCAUGAUGGGAUAGAAGAUGAAUGGGGACCUUCAGGAUUAGACCCAUGGCUUAGCUGGAGGGAUGGGACGGGAUCCACAGCUGGAGAUGCUGUGGGGCGUAGUCAGAGGUGGAUGAGUUGUGUUGUCAAAUUUUGUAUUUGUUAUAGUCACAAUGCGUUGUUGUGAGUUUUGUGGGUCCGGAUUGUGGUUUUGUGGUGUGGUUGUGUUGUUACAACUGAGAGGCAAGGCUUUUGUGUUGUGUUGCCAAGUUUUGUAUUUCUAGGGCGUUUAGUUGUGUGCCAAGUUUUGUAUUUCUGGGGCGUUUAGUUGUGUUGUUAUAGUCACGAUGCACUGUUGUGAGUUUUCUGGGUCCGGAUUGUGGUUUUGUGUUGUGGUUGUGUUCUUACAAUUACAACUGGGAGGCAAGGCUUUUGCGUUGUGUUGUCAAAUUUUGUAUUUCUGGGGCGUUUAGUUGUGUUAUAGUCACGAUGCGUUGUGAGUUUUGUGAGUCCGGAUUGUGGUUUUGUGGUGUAGUUGUGUUGUUACAACUGGGAAAAAAGGCUUUUGUGUUGUGUUGUCAAGUUUUGUAUUUCUGGGGCAUUUAGUUGUGUGCCAAGUUUUGUAUUUUUGGGGCGUUUAGUUGUGUUGUUAUAGUCAUGAUGCAUUGUUGUGAGUUUUAUGGGUCCAGAUUGUGGUUUUGUGGUGUGGUUGUGUUGUUACAACCUGGAGGGAAGGCUUUUGCAUUGUGUUGCCAAGUUUCGUAUUUCUGGGGCGUUUAGUUGUGUUGUUAUCGCAUGAUGCGUUGUUGUGAGUUUUGUGGGUCUGGAUUGUGGUUUUGUGGUGUGGUUGUGUUGUUGUAACCUGGAGGCAAGCCUUUUGCAUUGUGUUGCCAAAUUUCGUAUUUCUGGGAUGUUUAGUUUUGUUGUUAUAGUCACUGCGCAAACAACUUUAUCAUUUUAUAUAUAUAGAUAAUAACAUUUCUUGAGGCUCCACAAGAAACGUUUGCUUCAAAAAGAGCUCUAUGCCUGAAAAAGUUUGAGAACCCCUGCUCUAUUCUAUCAAUGGCCCUCUACAUUGGAAAUGCAAAACAGUUUCUAUGCAAGAAGAUUAAUGGACCCAAAUCUCACAUUAGAAACAGGAAUCCUCAUAAUCCAGAUGGUAACUUUCCUGGGCACACUGUAAGGGAUUUGCAGGUUGUGAUCCCUGGACCAGGAAAUUACAAAGAAAGACUAAAAAGAGAAACUGCUAAUUUAUUAGCAGAAAUAUGAAUAAAGACAAUGGCUGACGUACAUAUAAUAUUACAAGUUCUCACUACUGCACAUAUAACAAAAGAGAGAGUUUUGUUUUUUAUUAAUUUUUUAACGCAUGCAAACAACAUGAGAGAGAUUUUUGAUCUUUGAGAAACUGACUUUUGGUAAGCAGAUUUAUUGCUUUUACACAUCAAUAAAAAUAACCACUAUAAAGAUCUGAAAGCCUUUUGAAAAUUUAGGACAAGUGACAUGAUUUACAUUUGUUCUGGUCGCUAUUAUGUUCUAUCCAAUGAUUUAUGCCUGAAGCCUUAAUAACACUUGGUACAGGUUCUGUAGAAAUGGGUUUAUAUCUAUGAAAGCUCAGGUGAAAAUGUAGCAGUUUUAGGCUCCUUCCACACAGCUGUAUAAAAUCCACAUUGAACUAGAUUAUAUGGCAGUGUGGACUCAGAUAACCCAGUUUAAAGCAGAUAUUUUGGAUUAUCUGCCUUGUUAUUCUGGGCCACAUUUCUCUCUCCCCCCCCCCCCCUU